rnacentral:rRNA from 1 species
UACGUAGGGUGCAAGCGUUGUCCGGAAUUAUUGGGCGUAAAGAGCUCGUAGGCGGUUUGUCGCGUCUGCCGUGAAAGUCCGGGGCUCAACUCCGGAUCUGCGGUGGGUACGGGCAGACUAGAGUGAUGUAGGGGAGACUGGAAUUCCUGGUGUAGCGGUGAAAUGCGCAGAUAUCAGGAGGAACACCGAUGGCGAAGGCAGGUCUCUGGACAUUAACUGACGCUGAGGAGCGAAAGCAUGGGGAGCGAACAGG